rnacentral:rRNA from 1 species
GGUUCCUACGGGACGCAGCAGUGAGGAAUAUUGGUCAAUGGUCGGGAGACUGAACCAGCCAAGCCGCGUGAGGGAGGAAGGUACAGAGUAUCGUAAACCUCUUUUAUAAGGGAAUAAAGUGCGGGACGCGUCCCGCUUCGCAUGUACCUUAUGAAUAAGGAUCGGCUAACUCCGUGCCAGCAGCCGCGGUAAUACGGAGGAUCCGAGCGUUAUCCGGAUUUAUUGGGUUUAAAGGGUGCGUAGGCGGCCUUUUAAGUCAGCGGUGAAAGUCUGUGGCUCAACCAUAGAAUUGCCGUUGAAACUGG